rnacentral:rRNA from 1 species
UGGGGAAUAUUGGACAAUGGGCGCAAGCCUGAUCCAGCCAUGCCGCGUGAGUGAUGAAGGCCCUAGGGUUGUAAAGCUCUUUCACCGGUGAAGAUAAUGACGGUAACCGGAGAAGAAGCCCCGGCUAACUUCGUGCCAGCAGCCGCGGUAAUACGAAGGGGGCUAGCGUUGUUCGGAUUUACUGGGCGUAAAGCGCACGUAGGCGGACUAUUAAGUCAGGGGUGAAAUCCCGGGGCUCAACCCCGGAACUGCCUUUGACACUGGUAGUCUUGAGUUCGAGAGAGGUGAGUGGAAUUCCGAGUGGAGGAGUGAAAUUCGUAGAUAUUCGGAGGAACACCAGUGGCGAAGGCGGCGCACUGGCUCGAUACUGACGCUGGGGUGCGAAAGCGUGGGGAGCAAACAGG